rnacentral:misc_RNA from 1 species
UUAAACUAAUAUUACCAACCCUGGACAACAGUUCUUUCCCAGUCAGCUCUGUCCUCCCGUCACACGGCCAGUAACCCAACUCCAACGUUUACAUAAGUGCAGGAACACAUCAAGCGAAACCAAUAUUUAGAUCCAAUAAGGAUGCUAAACCCAAACUCUCACAGGAAUUGCGAGGGUCGCCGAGGAAUCGCAUUAUUUUAAAACGAAUUCCACAUCCUCGCCCCAUAAUUGUCCUAUUUCAACUCCAAUGCCGUCGUUUGUCAAAGGACCAGGAGGAAUUUGUCAAAGGGCGUUUAGGGUUGUUCCAAAUGCAUAUAAAAGAGUUGUUACAUCAACAGAACACAGAAUAUUUGAAAGGAAUAAAGAAAUAUGAUAACCAAAUAUGAACAUAGUAACUGCAACCACAAGGAUAAAAAUAAAUUACAGAAAAUCAUAAGCCUCCUCUUGCCAUUGGCUAAAUGCAAAAAUGAACAGAACAACCUUGCCCACAUCCACAUGAUUGAGAAAAUUAAACACAAAACCAAUCAAUGAUGAUAAGCCACAUCUCAUGCUACUAAAAUCAGUUCAGGAUAAAAUUUAGCUCAUUGGCCAAGGCAAGCAUUUAGCUAAAGCAAAAAGAGAACUCAUUCCCUACUUAUCCCUGGUUGCCACCACCACCCCUUGAACGACCACCCAUCCUUCCACGACCACGACCAUAGCCUCUGCCCCCUCCACCUCUGCCUCUUUCAUACCCAGUACCACGAUAACCCCAACUUCUGCCUCGUCCACCACCACGACCCCAAUUUGAAUAACCACCAUUAUCUUGAUAGUUUCCUUGAUAAUUUCCAUAACUGUAUCCACCUCUACCCCGGUUCCGCCCUCUCCCCCUACCAAGACCACGCCCUCGGCCAUAUGAAUCAUCACGAGCGGCAUUAUAUGGACCACGCAAUUGUCUGGGUUGCUGUUGCUGUUGUUGCUGCUGCUGAUACUGUUCCUUCGGUUGUUCCACAUACUGUGGAGCUUGAUACCUAGGCACACGAUUUUGACCUCAUAACAACUAGAAAAACAUCAAACAAUGUGCACAAUAUGCAUUUGUUGGUACAUGCCACUGAGAGAUUCAAAAAUCAGGUCAUGGUAAUGGUACCCAUUAUGAAUCUCAGCUGACCAGCACAGUGAAAAAGACUUCUGAACAGUGACCCUAAAAUAACAUAUUAUGCAAGGAUUUGGAUUUUCACAAGCCAGGAUAAACUCAAAGCAGCUGAACAACUUACUUCCCAAAUCUGAGUUUGGCAAGCAACAAUAUAUAUUAAAAAAUUAAAAGAUAAACUUACCCAGGAGAAUUUUUGUUUAGCUCUCUGAAGGACAAAGUGAUUGUGAUCAUUGAGACUUGGCGAGUCUGUUCCACAGGUAAAAGGCCCUCUUCAAUAGGUUCCCAAACAUCAAUUAUGCUUACUGAGCUAAUGGCUGUAUCUUGAUGCAAACGGGGAUUUCUUCUCUUUAUACCCUCUGCAAUAGAUACUGUCUUGCUAAUUGCCUGUCCCAUUGCUUUCAAGACAACCUCUCUUACAUGUUUCUCCACAAUGAAAUAGCGAAAACCUAAAGACCGAUUCAGCCAUUGUACAGAGUAGAGACAUCCAAUCCUCAACCAAAAUGCCCUAGAAGAGAAAACACUAACUAUUCCUGGACUAGGAUAAGAAGUAUCCACCAAACCCCCAAAAAUCAGAGACUGCACUAAAAGAAUGUAUGGAAAAACACCAUAAUAAUAGAACUCAGAACACCGACAGAUAAUAUAAAACAUAAGCAAAUGCCCAAAAUAAUCAAACCCAUCACAGCGACGCAUGUGCUCAAACCCUAGAAAUCAAACAAAGCAAAAUCAGGAAGGAAGCAACAAAACCAUUAUUCUAAUGAUCAC